rnacentral:rRNA from 1 species
CAAAAACAUAGGUCUCUGCUAAAGCGUAAGCUGAUGUAUAGGGGCUGAUACCUGCCCAGUGCUGGAAGGUUAAGGGGAAGGGUUAGCAUGUGGUGUGUGUGUAAGCAUGCAGUGUGUGUGAAGCUUUGAACCGAAGCCCCAGUGAACGGCGGCCGUAACUAUAACGGUCCUAAGGUAGCGAAAUCCCUUGUCGGGUAAGUUCCGACCCGCACGAAUGGUGUAACGACUUGGAUGCUGUCUCAACGAGGGACUCGGCGAAAUUGAAAUACCCGUGCAGAUGCGGGUUACCCGCGACAGGACAAAAAGACCCCGGGAGCUUUACUAUAGCUUGGCACUGGGUCUGGGCUUAUCAUGUGUAGCAUAGGUGGGAGGCUGAGAAGUCGGGGCGCUAGCCUCGGUGGAGCCAUCAUUGAAAUACCACUCUUGGUGAGUUUAGCCUCUAACCCUAGAGCAAGCUAGGGGACAGUGUCUGGUGGGUAGUUUGACUGGGGCGGUCGCCUCCUAAAAGGUAACGGAGGCGCCCAAAGGUCCCCUCAGAGUGGAUGGAAAUCACUCGUAGAGCGUAUUGGCAUAAGGGGGCUUGACUGUGAGACCUACAAGUCGAGCAGGCAGGAAACUGGGGCAAAGUGAUCCCACGGUGCCGUGUGGAAGGGCCGUGGCUUAACGGAUAAAAGCUACCCCGGGGAUAACAGGCUUAUCUUGCCCAAGAGUUCACAUCGACGGCAAGGUUUGGCACCUCGAUGUCGGCUCGUCGC